rnacentral:lncRNA from 1 species
UUGGAGCAAGCUAAAAUCUUAGUUAGAUAUGACAUGAAUUAUUACAACUAUUCCUAAAAACUAUGAAAGACAAACAUCCAUGCUUUCCCUUAUUUGGUGUAGUCGAUUUCACUUUGGACUGGGCCCGCUUGGUCUUCCAUCAGCUUCUGGAACCCUGGUCAACAGUGGCCAGUCUUGGUCAACACGAUGUCAUCAACAGACCCUGUUCUCUCUCCUUCAUCGGCUAUCAGAACCUUAUCCACAACGGUUGACUCUAGUCAAAAACCGGUGUCAACACAUGCCCCCCAAUUUUGUAAUAUAAUAUUAUGUUCCAAAAUUCUCUUCUCUUAUCAACAUCUU